CAAUAGACUACCCCGGUAGUCCACGCCGUAAACGAUGAUAACUAGCUGUCAGGGCUCCUGGAGUUUUGGUGGCGCAGCUAACGCAUUAAGUUAUCCGCCUGGGGAGUACGGCCGCAAGGUUAAAACUCAAAGAAAUUGACGGGGGGCCUGCACAAGCGGUGGAGCAUGUGGUUUUAAUUCGAAGCAACGCGCAGAACCUCACCAACGUUUGACAUCCCUAUCGCGGUUACCAGAGAUGGUUUCCUUCAGUUCGGCUGGAUAGGUGACAGGUGCUGCAUGGCUGUCGUCAGCUCGCGUCGUGAGAUGUUGGGUUAAGUCCGCAACGAGCGCACCCUCGUCUUUAGUUGCCAUCAUUAAGUUGGGCACUCUAAACGAAACCGCCGGUGAUAAGCCGGAGGAAGGUGGGGAGUGACGUCAAGUCCUCAUGGUCCCUUACGUCGUUGGGUCUACACACGUGCUACAAUGGCGGUGACGAGGUGGGUCGUGCAACUCCCGCGGAGGGUGGAGACAAUCUACCAAACGCCGUCUCUAGUUCGGU
rnacentral:rRNA from 1 species